UACGAAGGGGGCUAGCGUUGCUCGGAAUCACUGGGCGUAAAGCGCACGUAGGCGGAUCUUUAAGUCAGGGGUGAAAUCCCAAGGCUCAACCUCGGAACUGCCUUCGAUACUGCGGGUCUCGAGUCCGGGAGAGGUGAGUGGAAUUCCUAGUGUAGAGGUGAAAUUCGUAGAUAUUAGGAAGAACACCCGUGGCGAAGGCGGCUCUCUGGAACGCAACUGACGCUGAGACGCGAAAGCGUGGGGAGCAAACAGG
rnacentral:rRNA from 1 species